AGUGUUUGAUGUUUUGUACAAGUCGGUGAAUUUUUUAAUAUUACAUCUUUAACGUGGAAAAAAGUUUCAAAACAAAAAGAAAACAAAUCGUUAUGUAUCCCGAGGGAAAUAGAUAAAGGAUAUAACAUUUAAAUUAACCCCACAUUUUAUGACCUAUCAAAAUAACACAUAGAUUAUUAAUUAAAAAAUAUUAAAUUAAAUAAAAAAUAGUUACAAAAAAUAAAAACGCUACGCUAACACUUCAAGCUAAAUCUUAAAUUAUAAACCCUAUACCCUAAAUUCUAAACUCAAAUCCAAACCCCUAAACCUAAACUCUAUAUCCUAAACCCUAAUCCUAGACCCUAAACCCAAAUUAUAUACCCUGAACCCAAAAACUAGACUAUAAACCUAAACUCUAUAUCCUAAACCCAAGUCCUAGACCAUAAACACAAACCAUUAACCUUGAACCCAAAUUAUAUAUCAUAAACCCAAAACAUUAACUAUAAGUCCAAACGGUAAAUCCUAAACCCAAACCGUAAAUCCUAAAUCCAAAACAUAUACCCUAAACCCAAAUCCUAA
rnacentral:lncRNA from 1 species